GCCCGGCUUCUCUCCCCGCCUUGAAAAAUAAAAAGGUCUCGAUGUCCGUAAAAGCCUUGAGAUGCUGAAGCUAGAGAACAACACGUCUAGAACACAAACACGGUGGCUUUUCUGGUGCUUUUCGCUGAUCUGAGGUAAUCUGCAGAGCAUAUUAUAUGAGUAGAUGACAGCAGACAUUACAUCUUGGAGGAGCUGGGCAACAGAAAGGAGCAUGGAGAAGGAUAAGGCCACUCUAGGGGUACUUGGAAGAAGCCCUCAGGUAUGGAGUCCAAAUUACUCUGCAUCACCAAGGUUAUGGUAAAUAAAACAGUGGAAAAAAGCAAGAACAGAUGUGAACGGU